AUUGAACGCUGGCGGCAGGCCUAACACAUGCAAGUCGAACGAGUGGCGGACGUGUGAGUUAUGUCUGUGACACUUCCUGGUGGAGGGGGAUAACUACUGGACACUGUAGCUAAUACCGCCAUCCCUCAGAUGUGCCCAGAUGGGAUUAGCGAGGUGGUGGGGUAAAGGCUCACCAAGGCGACGAUCCCUAGCUGGUCUGAGAGGAUGACCAGCCACACUGGAACUGAGACACGGUCCAGACUCCUACGGGAGGCAGCAGUGGGGAAUAUUGCACAAUGGGCGCAAGCCUGAUGCAGCCAUGCCGCGUGUAUGAAGAAGGUCUUCGGGUUGUAAAGUACUUUCAGUGGGGAGGCGUUACCAGCAGAAGAAGCACCGGCUAACUCCGUGCCAGCAGCCGCGGUAAUAC
rnacentral:rRNA from 1 species